UAAAAGUCAAGCCUCUCCAACUCACAGGACAAGUCUCUCCCAGUGGUGUACUUAAAAAGCUGAAGCGUAUCAGCUGAGUCCAUUUUAAAGAAUCCUCAGACCUCCUGCAAUGAGGUGUGGGAAACCAGUGACAGUAAAGCCCAGCAGGAGGCAUGAAGAGGAGAAAAAUUACAUCUUCCAGAAAAAUUCAGACAAGUUUGGUUUUGUGUGAAUGCACUAAGACUGUCACCACAGACAACAGUUCUGCUUUGCCCGUCUCAAACACCAUUAAGAUGCUCAGGACCAGAAUAUGAGAGGCUGACUGAAAAAGCAAAGCAAGAAAUGUAAAUUAUGGGGAGACUAUCUGGCAAUUGGAGAAUUAUGCUGCACCUAUGUUAUCAAAUUUUGCUAACAAAAUUUGCCUCUUAUUAUUGUAUCGCCUUAUGGCAGAUGGGAUCUGCUGCAAUACUACAAAUUACUGUCAGCUGUGGGAGGACUAAUGGAAAAACCAAGAUAUGAACCAAGUCAUCUUGCAAUUUCUCAGAAAUCAUGAACCAUUCUGCCAAAUCCUCUAGUCCUACACCAAGGAAAUUUUUAUAUGAGAAAGACACAUCAGUGGAAAUCCAGAUGCGCAGCUGCCUUGAAACAGAUGCCACUGGGAUGCAUAAGCACAAUCCCACACAGCUUUUUCAAAGAACAGUCAGAUACUAAAAAGGGUGUGUUGUAGUGGGAACAAGACAUGAAUGUGAAUGUUCUCUGCUGAAG